rnacentral:rRNA from 1 species
GGUCGAAAGAUCGUGGCCCCGCACACUGCUCAGUAACACGUAGUCAACCUACCCUUGGGACGGGGACAACCUCGGGAAACUGAGGCUAAUCCCCGAUAGGUGAGGGACGCUGGAAUGCCUCCUCGCCCAAAGCUCCGGCGCCCAAGGAUGGGACUGCGGUCUAUCAGGCUGUUGGUGGUGUAACGGACCACCAAACCUACGACGGGUACGGGCGAUGGGAGUCGGAGCCCGGAGAUGGGGACUGAGACAAGGCCCCAGGCCCUACGGGGCGCAGCAGGCGCGAAAACUCCGCAAUGCGCGCAAGCGUGACGGGGGAAUCCCAAGUGCCGUUGGUCUUAUGAUCGACGGUUUUUAGGAAGUCUAAGAAGCUUCCAGAAUAAGGGCUGGGCAAGACUGGUGCCAGCCGCCGCGGUAACACCAGCAGCCCAAGUGGUGACCACGAUUAUUGGGCCUAAAGCGCUCGUAGCCGGAUCAGCAAGUCCCUUGUGAAAUCGGGCCGCCUAACGGUUCGGCGUGCAAGGGAUACUGUUGGUCUUGAGGCCGGGAGAGGUCGGAGGUACUCCUGGGGUAGCGGUGAAAUGCUCUAAUCCUAGGGGGACCACCAGUGGCGAAGGCGUCCGACCAGAACGGACCUGACGGUGAGGGGCGAAGGCUAGGGGAGCGAACGGGAUUAGAUACCCCGGUAGUCCUAGCUGUAAAGCAUGCGGGCCAGGUGUCUAGCGCUCCUU